CGGGAUGUAGCGCAGCCCGGUAGCGCACCUGCUUUGGGAGCAGGGGGUCCCAGGUUCGAAUCCUGGUAUCCCGA
rnacentral:tRNA from 2 species